UCAUCUUUUGGAGAUUUCUUCCUCACCAUGCAGGGAUGGGCAGCCUUGGACUGAGAGGCUGAGGGGUGUGGCUGGGGUUGUGUGUGAGUGUGUCUGAGCCUUACCCAAGAGGGUCUUCUAUUCCCUCCCAGAACAGUGUGAGGGAGCUCAACCUGGUGUGCCUUGCUCCUCCCCAUAGCUCUGUCCCUGGGGACAUUUGGAGGAGCAUGGGGCAGCACCGCAGCAAUCCUCACAGACCGCGCCUGUGGGAGCGUUGAGCUGUCAGGUACUGGUGCCAUCUGGAGCCCCGUGUUUUCAGCCCCUUCAUCUGCAGGAAAGUAGUUCUCAACUUCAUACAUGACUUUUAACUUGGCAGGUGUAGACAAGCGGGAAAUGAUGUCUUUGAUUGAGGGUUAUAAGGCCUAAGAACUGGAGGGCUGGAGAGACAGCUCAAUGUGUAAGAGCACUGGCUACUCUUUGAAAGGACCCAGGUUCAAAUCCCAGCAUUUACAUGGCAACUCCAGUUCCAGGAAGUUCAACACCCUCACGUGUACAUACAUGCUGGCAAGCCACCAAUGCACAUAAAAUAAAAACAAUGUUAAAGUGCCAGCAGGCCUUCAGCGCUCCCUGGAGUCCUCCCCUACAGGGGUAGCUGUUGAAGUCUUUGUGGUCCUGCCCUUCCUGACCUUAGUCUUCACCAUGGAGAAAAUGGUUGUUGCUGCUCAAGCAAGUGGGACCUGGUGGCUCUGAGCUUAAGGCUGUGAAAACAGUGUUUCGUCAUGAAGUAAAUGUUCUGUUGUCCCAGGAACACUUCCCACCCCUUCCCCUGUGGGUGGGGUCAGCAGUGUCUCCUGCCUGCUCUGGAGCCACCUUGGUUCUCUGGACUCUUCUUUCUGGGCCUUCUCUGAAGACUACUGACCUGACUAGACAUCUCUUGUCUCUCCUACCCACAAGCCUCCUCAAGUUGGCCCAGCAGCCCUGCCUCUGCCUCCCUACAUGCUGAGGUGUCUGCAAUCACCUAUCCUUUCCUGGCUCUUGGGUCUGUGCCCACCCCACCCCACCCUCAGCUCCGAUAACAGUGCGCACUCGGGCCACCUGCCUCCCCCAGGCUUAACCAGUCCCCAGCCUCUGCACCUUGGUGGAUUCUUUUCAGGGAGGGUCAUGGAGGGCUGAAGUUGCACCAUGGUGGGUUUCCCCACUCAAGUGUCUUCAAUACUAGACCCUGGGAAUACCUGUUCUUCAAAAAAUGGCAGAACUGUAGAACUGUGGCCUAGAUCAGGGUGGAUGGGACAGGACACUGUCUGAGGUGCAUGUCUCUCUCUCUCUCUCUCUCUCUCUCUCUCUCUCUCUCUCUCUCUCUCUCUGUGUGUGUGUGUGUGUGUGUGUGUGUGUAUAGUGGAGAGUUCACAGACUUUAGCAUUUUGAACUGAGUUCAUAGACACUUUGUUUUCUCAUAAUUAUAAAUCCUACGUUUAUCUGUGAGGCUUCCAGAACAUGACAUUAAAUGUUGGGGUUUUCUCCUAAUAAAAGCCCCACUGGCAGUGA
rnacentral:sRNA from 1 species